AUACGGAGGGUGCAAGCGUUACUCGGAAUCACUGGGCGUAAAGCGCGCGCAGGCGGUCUUUUAAGUUGGAUGUGAAAGCCUACGGCUCAACCGUAGAACUGCAUCCAAAACUAUUAGACUAGAGUGUGGGAGAGGAAGAUGGAAUUAGUUGUGUAGGGGUAAAAUCCGUAGAGAUAACUAGGAAUACCAAAAGCGAAGGCAAUCUUCUGGAACACUACUGACGCUGAGGCGCGAAAGCGUGGGGAGCAAACAGGAUUAGAUACCCUAGUAGUCC
rnacentral:rRNA from 1 species